rnacentral:lncRNA from 1 species
GUGGCAUAAUUAAGCAUCCAAAUCGUCACUUAAUAGUAAAUAGUCAAUGAAGAGCAUGCAUGGAAGAAGGCAGGGAUGUAUGGAGAAUUAAGGGGUGAUAUUGGAGAAAUAAGCCUCAUUCAUGGAGAGGACCAAGAGCAGGAGGGAGAUUUGGGCUCCUAAAUCCUACUGAGGAAUUUAAACUAUUCAGAUCUGCAGGAAAUAAGUCACCUCAGCAACUCGUAGGAUCCAGGCUCAAGGAGCACCGUGAUAAAAUAUCAGUGUAUGUGCCUCUGUGGUGCCCAUUUCAUUCUAUCACAUAACUAGAAGAAUACGAUGAAAAAACCCCUGAUACAUCGGUGACUUCAAAUAAAAAUUGUCACUCUGCCAUACACACAUUUAAUGUUCUACAUAUAGGACCAUUUGACGAGAAUAAGUACUAGCGUUAGAAGAGGUUGUAUUGAAGAAAUGCAGAGUAUAGGGGAAGGAAAGUUACAGGUAAUAGUUUACCCUGAAACUACUUACAUGUUUAGAAAUAAGAAUCCUUUCUUAUUUCCUUUGCAAAGCUGCCAGCCUUUCUUCACACACAAUGAUCGUGUUUUAUUUGUACUACUGUAGAAGCCACAAGCUCAGGUCAUGGAUCAGUUCUACACAGAUGUAAAGAAAAAAGAUAUGCCUACACACAGAUGAAAGUCACCCCAUGCAAAUACUAGUCAUAAUGAACUUUUAAAAUUUUAUUGCCUUAGAAUAAAUCUCAUAAUUAUUGCUCACUGUAGAAGUAUCAUAAAAAUAUUAUUUACAUUAGUCAAAUCAAUUUACAAAGAAGAAAUAUGCAAUAAAGCCCAAGGAGAUUGUUACAGCAUUACAGAUAUCCAGAUAGGCAAAGGAGACACCUUCUUUGCAUAGGUUUUGUUGUUUUUUUUUUUUAAUAUACAUAACUAAGUAAAAUAUAUUCUAUGUAAACAGCACAUGAAAAGUAAGGGUACUUAGAACUGUACUAGCAAUUAUAUUCUUGAAGAAUUUUCUGUCCUAAGCAUGAGAGUAUAUCCACAUAUAGUUUAUUUCCUACCAGUAAUUUACUCAGAAACUUAAAGAUAGUUUAAUUCCAUAGCAUAAACAAAAAUCACUAUAAGGAAGUAACAGUGCAAAUUUGUAUCUUCCGUGCAACCUGAUACUAGUAUGUAUAUAAUGUUUGUUAUAUUUUAAUGAGGAUAUUCUCAGCAAUAUACAUGUUUACACCUUUUUUUCCUCCAGUGUUGGAUUUUAUUUCAUUUACCUCACUUACCUACCUUGCAAGUUUAAGAAAUGUACUAUUUAUUCAUCAACUCUACUGUCUCUCUGACUUCUUCAGUUACAUAGACAAACGCAUUAAAGAAAAAUGACAUGGUUCGUCUCAUAGAAGUUAAUGUCAAGAUAAGCUAUCUAGAUUGUAUUCCUGUCAAUUGAAAUGAUAAUAACAAAAAAUAAACAAUAACAACAAAAAACAGAGCUUGUUUUACUUUUUUUUCCCAGAAUACACUCUCAUAAUUAAACUUUCUACUUCUCCAAGUAGCUGACUGUGUACUCUUGCACAGUGGGAGGUUUUCUCCACAGACAUAUUGACUUGGACAAUAAACAAAGCAGAAAUCCCUGACUGGAAUUUACAGCUAAAUUUAACCAUGCAUACUGUUUAUAAAAUUUGCAUAUCUGUCUUUCAACAUUAAGAAAAAAAAACCAAAGUUGCAGAUCAAUGAACUUAGACAAUGAAAAAAAAGAAAAACCAGAGAGAAAUGAUAAAUUUGUAACUUCCAUACUUAUGGAUGCUGUAUGUGAAAGGAAAUCUGCAGAAACUCACGGUGCUGCUGUAAUGAGAUUUGAAAGAUGAGAGCAUACUAGAAGUAAAGGAGCUUCUCCCUAACAAAGAUGGCCUAAAUGGUACUUCAUUAUACUGAUGAAGUGCCACUGAAUUGUAGAAGACGUUUCCAGCAACUUUUAUCUCCCUGUCCAACCACAAAACACACAGAAACGGUUAAUAUGGCUUAAAGACAUCACCCACCUUUUCCCCACAGUAUUCAAUUUCCCCAUGAAACUUUAGCAGACCAGUCAGCAUGGGUUUCUUACAAUUAAAGAUGGCAAAAAAAAAAAUUUCACUGAUACUUUUUCAUUGAUUCUUUGUCACCGAGCAUCAUCAUCACUAACCUAUUAGCCAUCAGUAACAAGUAUUCAUCUCUUCUUUUUUGAUUUUUGUCUCUCUUGUAACAGCAACCAGGAUGCCUGGAAGUCCUAGGAAUUUAAUUCAAAGGAAUUAGUCUUUCUAGUUCAUUUAAAACUAAGUUAUUUUACUCAGAUCAGCCUUUCCACAAAAAUUAGAACUUGGUAUACAACUGUGCCAGGCUUUGCAUUGCUUCAUAAGACACUAUUUGCAAACAUUCAGAUAUUUUUAUUCUGCAAAGUGCAAAGAAAACUAGGAAAACUAUUUCAGUUACAUAGAGCAUUUACCUAGAAGCCACCAACAUACCAUAUGCAUUCUGGUCCUGCCCAGAAAAUCACAAGAAAAUAUGACUUCCAGUGAGGUAACCACACGAUGCUGAGAGCUCACUGAGAUGUGUUUAUGACACUGGAGCAACGGGAGUCAAAACCUACAAUAGUCCAAAUGCAAACUGGGGGUAGGAAAACAAGCCAGCAGUUGAACAUUUCAGAAUCAGGCACUAAAAUUAAUAAAUUAAAGAUGAAUUUACUCAGACUGUGUGUACAUGGUCACCUCACGGGGCCAUCACCAGGAAGACAUGAGAUCUUCUUAGAAGAACUGGCUCUACCUGAAGCUAAUUAACAGAUAUGCUGACUGUAAAUAAAAGCAGGAGGUGGUAAACAGAAAAGAAUGGGAAGCUUGGUGGGGCUCCCAACUGAUGCUGCAUGUCAAUAAAUGUCAGUUAAAACAUAGAUGCUGCUUCUGUACUCUCUUAAGGAAAUAAUUAUAAUCACAUUAUGCUGUAAUACAGUCUAAGCUAAUCUCCAUGCUACAUAAUAGGGAAGAUAGUUUUUGAUGAACUCUACAUCAGUUAAAUAGAAAUUCAAGCAUGUAGAAUUUGUUUUGUUUUACAGAGAGAAUGAAACAGCUUAUUUAAAACUGAAAAUGGUUAUUUUCAACUUUACUACCCAUAAAAGAAGAAGAUAUUUCUUACAUCCCAGUCCAACCAGUGGCCCUUAGAAAAAUACCGAGCAUUUCAAAACCACCAGUGAGACAGCACAAACAUAUAUACUUAACAAACAAGAGACUGACACAUAUAUCGGCCGUGUUUUUUUUAAGCUCAGACAGACCUUUUUCAAUUUAUCUUCACCAUUUCCCAAUUCUUCAGAAGAUACAUUACUUAACUAACUUCGUAUUGGCAUGAGAUUCCACACGUUUUACCAUCCCAUUUUUCUUCAUUGUCUCCUUCAGUUUUUCUGCCAACAAAGAGUUACCUGUAAGGCAGCUCUGGAAGUACUUAAUAUUGAAGAAAUAUUGAUGCUUAACAUCCAUUUUUGCCCAGUGUCUCUAAAAGUUAACUCCCACUAUAAAAUGUUUCCUAAACCACUCUCUCAUUUAAAGACCCGGUUUUACAAACCUUUUCCCAAGCAAGCAGACACCUUAAAGCAGACACCAUAAUCACUGACAUUAGUAUAGGCUAUUUUGCAUGAGAAAUUUUUGCAGGAUGUAAUCUCUUCCUUGAAGUUUCAGUACUUAUUAUCUGCUACUUAAAUAAAAGAAAUGUAAUAGUCUCAAUCCAACUACUUGUUAACACAUUUAUUUCACACCCAAUUACUUCCUACAGUAAUUCCAGUUUCAAAAGAGUGGACAAAUUUGGCAUGCCUCUCACUUCUUGACACUACAAUUAAGAUUCACAUUAAGACAUACUACUAAUGUAAGAGAGUUUGCACUAUUCUCACUAUUCUUUACAUACGUUUAGAGACUGGAUUACAAUCUCUUCUUUCUCUUCAUAGAUUACUAAGUCACUUUUAAAUAAGCAUAUGUGUAUUUGUUGCAUUUUUAGGAAAAUGUAAAAUUUCUUCAUUUUUUCCUUCUUUUUUGUUAUUUUUGUGAUGCACAAAUUCUAAUGUACUCACAUUUCUUCCUUAAAAAUGGUUAUUUCAGGUAAAGAUAAUCAACCACAUAGCACUAUGGUUCAAAAAGUAUUUGGACUCCAAAGAUACACAAAUGGAAAGUGGUACCUUGCUCCUUCACUGAUGUGCUAUCUUUUCUCCAUCCUCUCAUAGAAUCAUAAAAUCAUAGAAUCUCAAGGUUGUAAAGGACCUAUAAGAUCAUCUAGUCCAACCGUCCUCUCUCACAGUUUUGGUAGCAGAAUGACAAACUUCUUUCUAAACAAUACUCAAACCACUUCUUCCUUUCAAACUCUGUCUGGCUAUUAUCUCUUCUAAAGAUUACUUAUAACAUUUUAAAGGGAAAUUACUAGUCAUCUACUGAAAAUGUACUAGAAUCAAAUUCUGCUGAGAGAAAUUUUAAGGAAAAUUUGUAUACUUUAUAAGGAAAAGAUACAAAAUCUAUUUCCAUCAAUAUAGCUGUCAAGUAAACUGAGGUACAAAGGAGUAAAACUAGAUAUAUCUAUUACAGGUACUGCAGAAGUCUUCUAACACCAACAUUCUAUCCACUGGCUUUGGAAGAACAUCCAAAAAGGUUCACAGUUGUAUUUAGGGCACAGUUGUAGCAAAUUCUGUAAAGUUGUAGCUGCAAAAGCAAAAAAUUCAGCACAAAGCCUGAGACAUCCAAAAUCACAACCUAUUCAUAUGAAAUUUAAUAACCUGAUGUUUGCAUUAUCUGUGACUGGCUUACACCUUUCCUGGAUGAUUAAGUUUCAUUUCUGAUAAAUUCUGCUAAAUUCCAGGUUACCAAAGACCCAAAGACCAGAUUUGGUGAUUCAUAAGUGUACUUCUCCUUACACAAGGAUAGCUACACCAGUUCAGAUCAAAGGUCUGUUUAGCUCAGUAUGCUGCUUCCAAAAGUGGCCAUAAGUCAGAGCCAAGAGUAUAAUCACAGAAAUAAAAUACAAUAUUUUCCCUAAAUAACCUCCAGUCUUCAACUACCUUUCACUCAGGGGAACUCCUCAGGCUGGUAUAAUUUAUCCAUUCAGCUUCUCCUAAUGGGUCUUAUCCAUCAAGAACUUAGCCCAUUCUCCCUCUAAUCCACAUAUUGUUUGCAUCCAUAACAUCUCAAAGUAAAUCCACCUUGUGCACAGAACUGAGGACUGUAUUGCAGCAAUGCUGAGUUUUGUGGCUAUUCACUAUUCAGUGGACACAGCUAUUCACAUUUGCUUAUUAAAAGCCCACCAAAACAAAACUAACAUGAUUAACACAUCCCUUGAAAGAAACUUUGAGUUUGCACAUAUUGCCAGUCAGCUGAGUUCAGUAGGAACUAGCAUUCUAAACACUGAAAAAUGCUGCAAGAGCAAGAAUUAUAGCAAGGUUGAAUAUAGCUGGAAAACCAGGCAGACAUCAUGAGUGAAAAAACAGACACCUUAACAAAAGCAGCAAAAAACAUCCAUCUGCUUCCCUCAGUCCAGCAAGUGAUCCUUCCUUGAUCCAAGGAAGUUAAAUAUAGAGCUGCUAGAAAUUUUUCCACUGUAUCUAUUUUUGAUGGGAAAUGGGACUUUCAGCUAAACACUUUUUGGUUGGAUUUUUUUUUUUUUUUUUUUUUUUUGCAUUCCUGAAGUAUGUGCUUCUGCAAAUGUACUUCUCCAAAAAGCCAUACUUACAAACCAAAAUAUUUGGAUUGAAAACCGUAUUAAUCUGUGGCUUACCUGCUCUGUGCAAUAGAUCUCCUCUAUCAACUGAUUUCACCAUUUAAAGGCCAACUCCAAUUAUAGGUCACUUUGAGGGAUCCCCUGCUUCCUACACUCCCUUCAAAGAACAAAGAUCAUGGUGCAGCGUUAGAGAUGGUAGGCACUCUCAACCUUACAGAAUAAGACCAGCAGGCUACCAGAUUAAAAUGUUAAAGGAGAACUACAGUAACAUUUUUUCAAAUCUAGAAGUAUUGGUUCUCAGACAAAGUCUUCCAGUCCUCUGAAUUUUGUCAGAGCGUGUCAUAUUUUUCAUGGAAAAUAAAGACAAACAUUUAAAAAGCUUUUUAUUUUUUAUCAGAAGUUCAUGCAGGAGUUUUACAGGUCAAGGAAGGUCUUAUUCGUUAACCUGCAGAUUCCAGCCUAACAUCUGGAUUUGUCAAUACAAGAAUCAGAAACGCAUUAAACAGAAGUAAAUUUUUCCAGUAUUCCAUAGCAGGUUAGUGAGACUGUUCAAAGGCUAAUCAGAUAAAACCAAAUAGAAACAGUAAGGCUCCCAUAGAUGGGAUAACUUAACGUGCAAGUCAUAGAAUCGUAGAUUUGUAGGUUUAUAUAGUGGUUUACCUUGGAAAAGACCUUAAAGAUCAUCUAGUUUCAACCACACUGUGGAAAGGGUUGUCCCUCACUAAGUCAGCCAGAUCAGACUGCCCAGGGCCCCACCCAACCUGAGCUUGAAUGCCUCCAGGGAUGGGGCAUCCACAGCUUCUCUGGGCAACCUGUCCCAGUGCUUCACCACCCUCUUUGCUGAGAUAACUUAGUGUAUGAGUCCAAAGUUAUGAAAGACUAACCAGCCUAACAGCUCGGGUCAGCAAAGAAUAAGGAAAGCUUCCAACAAUGCGCAUGCUUACUAGAUAAGAAAUUUGUAAUGCAAAAAAAUGUACCAGAAUUGGCAAAGUAGCAAGAAAAUAAGGCAUUCCACUUAUUAGUCCCUUUGAAAGGUCCCCAGUUCAGUGAUUUCCAGAAGGAACUACUUUGACAAGGCCUUGAGUACAAUAAGGAGUGAAUUAUCCCAUUCUGGACAUUAUCACGCCUUUUCCUGGGACCCCAACAUCCAUUGCAACACUUGACAACGUGUCAUCCAGAAAGCACCCGAACCUGACAGAGAAGAACCCAACUAACACCACGAGAGACAAAGUUGAUACUUGUUAGGCUUAAAUGUCUGUUGUGCAUCUCCUUCCUUGUGGUUGUUUCCAGUCACACAACUCCCCCACUGUGACCCUGCCACAAAUGCACAACAAAUGAACAUAUAAAAGAAAUAAAAGAAAUCAAUCAAGACUGAAUCUUUUGUAACACAAUUGUGAGCCCACAAAAGACAACUGCAAAAAAAUCUCCUACCAAUACAGUACUAUUUUCUUUUCCCCCACCACACACACACAGGGCUAUUAUUGCCAUCAUUAGCACCAACUAAGAACCAGGACAACUCAAAGGAACUGGCAAAGAAAUAUCCAUAUUAAAAACUCAAUGGGUAAAAUGAAAGGAAGGACAUUUUGCUGUUACAGUGAAAUUCCUCUCAAUGCUUUGUUUUUCAAUCACACCAUUCUUUCACUAAAAUAAAAAUAGAGAAAGGUUUUUAAGAGUGAGUUUCUACUGAGACAGCACCUGAGUGUUCCAUACAAGCAGUUCCAAGCACUGCCUAUUGCUAAUUCACUGCACAGAGUUAACAUCUUUGGCUGUGUAAUGUUAUAAAGUGAAAAGUGCUAACACAACUUGUCAUUCUUGAGGCCAAUUUAUUCAUCAAAAUUAACACAAGCCCAAGCCUGCUGUCUUUAUUCAUAUUUGGAAUCAGCAGCCACUUAUGUAUUGUCCCAGCAAAAUUAGUACAGUGAAGGAUUAUGCGGGAUCUAACCCCAGAGAUAAAAAUUUUGUUUAGAGUAAGUGAAACACAAAGAAUAAAUAUUCAAAAUGAGUGAUGAAAGAUAUGUUUGUUAUUUCCAUUUUAACUCCAGGGCAAUGAGUAAUUUCUGUAAGAAUUUCUAUGUGUGAUUUUUAUCACUCAGCAUUUUAAAAUUGACUGUUGCGCAUCCUCCAUCAGAAGCUGGACUGGAAACAGUGAAACUUAAAAAGCUCCAUUUCAAAUAUGUAUGAGAAAUGUUAUUCCUUUAAGUUGUGCUACUAUACACUUACAAGGCACAAAAGCAUUAGAAUUCUGCAUUAGAAUUUCUGAGCAGCUUUGUAUUGUUCUAGGAUUUCACAGAACAGGUUCUUCUUCAAAUCAGUUAUAUAAAAUUUUGCUUUUCAUUACAUCUGGAUUUUGUAUCCAUGCAUUUCAACACCAAGAGUCUUUUGUCCAGUUCCCUUCUUCCUCAGAAGUGCAUGUCCCUAUUAAUUUUUCAUUUAAUUUACGGAAUGAGGGAGGGCAGACACAUAAGCUAACGUCCCCAUAUAAUUAUACAGUGCAAAAACUGGUGAGUCAAACUGGACUGCACUGCCUAAUCUUGUCUCUGCAGCAACUCAGAUUGCCCAGACUAACCUGCUGGCAGAUGGGGCAUCCUUGGCUCAAAGCUUGACUUUCAAGUCUACUUCUACCAGGCUGUAUUCUGUAGUACAGAAUAGUACACCGGCUGGGCUAUAUUUCUUGGCAGGAGUCACACGCUUGCUCACAAUGUAGCAACUGAGUCAUUCCAAAAUUGAUUCACAGCAUAUGAGAAAGAACUCUGCACUCCCCAGCUUCUCCAUUCUGAUUCUUCCAUAUAACCUGUAAAUUCAACACUCAGAAAUAUGCUCAAACAUGGAUACUUUGAAGUUAACAGAAGUCAAGUUAAAAAACAAGGGUCCCCUUCAUUCCUCCAGAACAUUCUGACAUUGAAAACCAGAUACACGCAUGCCAGACCAUCUUCAGAUGGUAAUUCUUAUUUGCAAGCCAUUCACCUCAGACGGUUACAGCUCAGUCAGGUAAGCUAGAUGGCAAUGAACAUUUAUGAGAAAAUUUGCAGGGGUUUAUACCCGAACUGAUAAAACUAAAGUUCUCAAAAAUGAAGAUUCAUCAAAAAGGCUUCACAGCCCAUGCUGGGAGUAAAGAUGGCGCAUGUGCCAUUUGAGCAUGUAUGAGCAUUAACAACAUUUUGAUGAAGCAUAAGGAGAGAAUUGUAUCACCACAAAUGUCACUGGCAUGCUGGAGGGCUUCAGUACUCUCACUGGGACAAGCUUUGGCUUUUAAGAGUGAACACUGCAUGUGUAUAUUCUCAUAUUAGCACCAGAGACCAAUCUUCUUGCCAGCCUCGAUCCACAUAACCUUACCUCAAUUCAAGAGUACACUUACACAUUAAUGAUCUAGCAGUUGCUUUAAAGUAAGUGACUGGUUACCUGGGCAGUCAGAGGAUUACAUCCAUAAAUACCUCGUGUGUAGAUACUGAACAGCAUGAUAUUUGUAUUAUUCUCCAUGUAUAGUAAAAAUGAAAAAAAAAAAAAAAAAACCAAAAACCAAAACAACAACAACGGCAAAAACGAAACAAAACAAAAAAAAACAUUGACUAUUUAAUGCAGGAAAACUAAAAGCUUAUCUUUAAAAGUCACAUCACACCAUGAGGUAUUACAACCUGUAGCACAGGUGGAAAGUAAGUAAAGCUUGCUACAUAAUAGGCAAAAUUGAAAACCAUUACUAUGGAAAACAAAACAAAACAAAACAAAAGGAUUGCCCUCAGAACGUUUAAUUUCAUUUAUAAUCCUCACAAACCAUGUUUUCUUGCAUUCCUUCCUCCUCUGUUGUUUCACCAAAGGGAAAUGAGGCAUUAUAAAACAACACGGACAUUGCAGCCCAAUCCCUGACUGCAUGGUGUGCGGGAAUAAAGGUAAACCUUUUGAUACACCUUUACCUUAUGUUGUCCUCAUGCUAAACUGCGGCUGCCACUAACUUCCUAUGCUGAUUCUGCUGUUCAUGCUGCUUCUCGCUAAGCCAACACAUCCAAAGCAGCCUCAGGAAGGAGUCUAAUCAAGGCCUAUGCUUCUUUUCUGCAGAAAAUCCUCCAGCCACAACCUGCAGCUUCACUGCUGCACUGCUGGAGCAGUCCUCAGAACACAGCACUGAUCAAUCACUUUGUCAUCCUCCUUUGUAGUAAAGGGACAGCAAAGCAAUCUUCCAGCAGUUUCUUCUCCUUCUCUGUCGCCUGCUCACUGCACCCUAGAAGUAGCAAACACAACAGAUCACGCACAGUGUAUUUUUUUUCUCCCAGAAGUCUCUCUCCUGUAUGACCAUCAUGGUAGUGGGCCCACUGGCAACCAGAUUUGAUAACCCUGAAAAGUUAUAAACAAAACAUUCUUCUUCUUGUCUACAAGGAGUUCUCAAGAAUCACAAUAAAAUAUAGGCUGUCUCAGAAGUUGUGUCAAUGCUAUUUAACUCCUCUGUGAAAGGAAAAAUACCUAUCAAAAUAUAGGAUAUUUGUGCAUACUUGUACUCUCCAAUCCCUGUUUUUUUCUUUGCAAGUUUAUAGAGCUGGAUUUUUACUCAUAAUGCCUGCUUUGCUGACUUCCAGAAGUGCAUAUCAAUGCAUUCCUUCCCAUACUUGGACUGCUCAUCACACUGCUCAGUUUGGGACCACACGUGGCACGUGGGAAAAAAGUCUGAACUGGAAAAGAAAAAAAAAAUGUGGUACUUUUUAGGGAAAAACUGAACAUAGCACGAUGCUACAACUCCACCUUACACUACUGCACCUACCUGCAAAGAUAUUCUUUCCUCUACUUGCCCUUUACUCUGUUCUCACAAAGCUCUACUUUCUCAUUUCAUGGUGUCGUUCAACAUGCUGCCCAUGCAAAAUCCCAUGCUGUCCAUGCAAAAUCCCAUGUCCUGUAGGUAAUCACUGCAGAAACAGUCUCUGGAUGAAGCUUUGUGGCCUGUGACAGGAAAGAGAUCAGCCUAGACAGUCCUUUCUGAAUUUAACCCACGAAAUUUGCCUCAGAAUCAUAGAAUCACAGAAUAGCUGGGGUCAGGAGAGACCUUAAAGAUCACCCAGCUCCAAUUCCCUGCAUGGGCAGGUCUGCCUUCAGUCAAGGCUUCAGUCUAACAAGAUUAUUUGAACAAUUUCCAUUGAGUAAAACGUCCCUUUCAAACAUUAUUUAUAAAAGCACCAUUCACUGACCUAUCCAACACAGAAAAGUGACCCACCACAACUUACUGGGGAACAGAGGUGGAAAUUAAAAAGCAAUUUUUCCAUUAUGAACUAACGAUCUGUAUUUUUUAAUAAGCAAAGUGCCAUAUAAACAUUUUAUGUGGUAUUUCAUCUUCAAGUAAAAAUAAUAAUAAUAAUAAUGAAAAGCCAAUUUACCAACCUUUCAAACUAAAAGCUCUGUAGUUGCCAUUAUUUGGUUUGAUGUGACCUAUGCAAUCAAAUGAGCAAAGCCUUAAAAGCAGACAGAAAUUAGGCUUAGAGAAUCCAAUGACAAGCAAUAGCCAGGAUGUUUGAACUGAAGUGGCACCAACAUUUGUGGCAACAAAGACUUGCCCAAGCAUUAACUACUUGUUGCCAAAUCUACAGGUUUGCAAAGAGUUGCAGCAUCUGUAACACUUUUGCCUUCAUCUGCGGGUUUUCUAUUUCUGCAUGGUGUGAUGACUGGACGUCUGUUUGGAAACCACUACAAAGUGUUCUCAAGUAAUCUGUACGGCUACAGCAAAGCACAGUUUUUCAGGAAAAGCAGCUGUUGUAUUUUCUGGAAAAAAACACACAGCCCAUUUUUAAGACCUGAGCCCUGGUUCCUUCAUCUCAGUGCUUCCAGUGACUUCAGUGAAGCCUCUGCUGGAGGAGCACACAACGGCUGUGACUCCACAGCUGUAAGCUAUCCAGGCUGCUUUUCAGUCACAUAAAGCAGAGCGCCCUCCCCACGGCUGCGCUGUUUUAUAUAUCUGAAAGACAAUUAGAGAAAUUAUCACAGUCUUCCAAGGAAAUUUGGGUACGUCAUCAUUUUUAAACUGCUACGAAGUUCCAUAGUUCCUGCUUUGUUACUGAACAGCUUCAGGACGCUCAGCAUCUUCACACUGCAUCUCUUCUCUCACUGUAAGAAAACAAGAGCAUAUAUGAACGACAGCAAAACUGCAGCCAAGCACGCUAUUGAGAAACUUGGUAUUCUCUUAUUUCUGGGAGAGUUACAGUGUAAUUCUAAACUGCAGCAUUCGGCAUGUCUCCUGAGCUUCCUCGCUGAAAUAUUGCGAUGGAAAUUGCACAGCAUCUGUGUUGCUUUUGGAAAGCAUCACCUCACAUCUGCUGUCUCAAGUGCAGAGCUUAAGUUCAGCGUAAAAAGGUACUUUGUAACAGGCACUGGGAGCCUGACAGAGGUAAUUUACGGGCUCGCCCGGCUCUGCUGACCACGUUGGCUCAGCGCUCCGUUCUGCAGAGCUCUUUAACUGAAACACGGCUCAGAACGCCGUCCGGCCCGCGGCUCUCCGUGUCCCAAGCACAGGACAGGUUUUCCAUUCGCUGGGCGCUGUGCGGUCUCCCAGCACCUUACAGCAGGGAACCGGCCGUUCUAACUGAGCUCUCAAAGAACCGUGCGCUGCUCUGGGACAAGUUCUGACCAAAUAUACGUAUACGAUUGAUUUCAUAGCCUGGAACUGCCAAACAGCAGCGCGCUGCCACGUCCUCAGCAGUUCCGUGUCACGUCCGAGCGCAAUCGCUCCCCUCAGGUGGGCUGGGGGCGAAGAGAACAGUUCUGCAAAUUACCGCAAUGAUUACACAGCGAACACGUUUAUCGCGUCGUUAUUGCCCAUUUCCUCCUCGACGGGAGACCUGCUCGUCUAUUUACAUGGGGAGGAGAAAGGGGCGGCGGAGGAUCCCGUCGGCAGAGGCAGCGAACUUCGGGCGGCCCUUUCCCUCCCGCCCCGCUCCGCUCCUCCGGCCCCAGCGCGGCGCGUUCCCGCGCUCGCAGUCAUUACGGCCGCAGCGGGAGCUCCACGCGAGCGCGAAGCGCAACAGCGCCGCAAUUAACAAACAAACGCCCCGGCCUGGGCGGACGGCAACCCCCCGGGACGGCCCCGCCGCGCACCGGCCCUUAAGGUGGUCCGGAGAGGAGAGACGCGACGGCCCCAAGGAGGGGGGAGGGGGAGAGGAGACGGCGACGUCUCUCGGGACCGUCCCCUCAGCCCAGACAACUCGUGGGCGCUGAGCCCGGCCUGGGCGCGUGCGGAGCGCGGAGGUCCGAGAGCGGCCGUCGCCUCAGAGCCCCGCGCUGCCGAUCCCCGGCUCCACCGGGCUCUCCCGCGGAGGAAAGCGCGCGCAGAGAGCAGAAGCACUUCACGGAGCAGAACCGCGCUUUGCCACUCAGGGGAGACAGCCCACAAAAAGCACAACGUUCCCGCAGCGGAAGGGCCGAGCAGGGCACGCCGCACCGGGACCCAGCGGCCGCUCCACCUUAAGGCGGGCCGGGGUCGGCUCCGC